rnacentral:rRNA from 1 species
CCGCGGUAAUACGUAGGGUCCGAGCGUUGUCCGGAAUUAUUGGGCGUAAAGGGCUCGUAGGCGGUUUGUCGCGUCGGGAGUGAAAACAGCCAGCUUAACUGGUUGCUUGCUUUCGAUACGGGCAGACUAGAGGUAUGCAGGGGAGAAUGGAAUUCCUGGUGUAGCGGUGAAAUGCGCAGAUAUCAGGAGGAACACCGGUGGCGAAGGCGGUUCUCUGGGCAUUACCU